rnacentral:tRNA from 1 species
GUUCUUGUAGUUGAAUAACAACGAUGGUCUUUCAAGCCAUAGGUUCUGGUUAAAUUCCUGGCAAGAAUU